rnacentral:rRNA from 1 species
AUUGAACGCUGGCGGCAGGCCUAACACAUGCAAGUCGAACGAGCGGCGGACGGGUGAGUAAUGUCUGGGGAACUGCCUGAUGGAGGGGGAUAACUACUGGAAACGGUAGCUAAUACCGCAUACCAUCAGAUGUGCCCAGAUGGGCUUAGCUAGUAGGUGGGGUAACGGCUUACCUAGGCGACGAUCCCUAGCUGGUCUGAGAGGAUGACCAGCCACACUGGAACUGAGACACGGUCCAGACUCCUACGGGAGGCAGCAGUGGGGAAUAUUGCACAAUGGGCGCAAGCCUGAUGCAGCCAUGCCGCGUGUAUGAAGAAGGCCUUCGGGUUGUAAAGUACUUUCAGCGGGGAGGCGUUACCCGCAGAAGAAGCACCGGCUAACUCCGUGCCAGCAGCCGCGGUAAUAC